rnacentral:rRNA from 1 species
UAACUGACGCUGAGGAGCGAAAGGUGGGGAGCGAACAGGAUUAGAUACCCUGGUAGUCCACGCCGUAAACGUUGGGCGCUAGAUGUGGGGCCGUGUCGCAGCUAACGAUUAAGCGCCCCGCCUGGGGAGUACGGCCGCAAGGCUAAAACUCAAAGGAAUUGACGGGGGCCCGCACAAGCGGCGGAGCAUGCGGAUUAAUUCGAUGCAACGCGAAGAACCUUACCAAGGCUUGACAUACAGGUGGUGCAUGGUUGUCGUCAGCUCGUGUCGUGAGAUGUUGGGUUAAAUCCCGCAACGAGCGCAACCCUCGUUCUAUGUUGCAACUCAUAGGAGACUGCCGGGGUCAACUCGGAGGAAGGUGGGGAUGACGUCAAAUCAUCAUGCCCCUUAUGUCUUGGGCUUCACGCAUGCUACAAUGGCCGGUACAAAGGGCUGCAAUACCGUAAGGUGGAGCGAAUCCCAAAAAGCCGGUCUCAGUUCGGAUUGAGGUCUGCAACUCGACCUCAUGAAGUCGGAGUCGCUAGUAAUCGCAGAUCAGCACGCUGCGGUGAA